AUGUGACACCACUGCACCCAGCCAAGCCCAAGAUUUAGAUUUGAAAGCCUAACCCUGCCCCUCCCUCUAUGUCUUUCCCCUCCUCCUCUUUUGUUCCUCUUUCUUUCAGGCCCUGGCACAGCUGUCUUGAGAACUAUUGAGGGGCUGGGAGAGGUGGCUUGCACCUUGUAACCCUAGCACUCUGGGAGGCUGAGAUGGGAGGAUUGUUUGAGCUCAGGAGUUUGAGACCAGCCUGAGCAACAGCGAGACCCCCAUCUCUACUAAAAUUAGAAAACUAAUGGGUUAAAAAAAAAACCAUGCUUUAAUUUAAAAAAAUGGUUCUAUUUAAUUUUUAAAAAUCAUGCUAUUUAAUUUUAAAAAACACAAACAAAAAACCCCCAAAACUGAUUGGGUGUGGUAGCGGGCACCUGUAGUCCCAGGUACUUGGGAGGGUGAGGCAAGAGGGUUGCUUGAGCCCAGGAGUUUGAGGUUGCUGUGAGUUACGACACUAUGGUACUCUAGCCUAGGACAAUAGAGUGAGACUCUGUCUCUCACACACACGCACACACACACAAAAAAAAAUGAGAGAGGGAGAAGUACUGUACGUAGGCCAAGAGAACAAGACACACCAUGGAUCUUUCCUGACCUGGGUUUUGGAGAUCUGGGCCCUGAAAGCAAGGAAUCUGGGAGGUCCUGGUGGAGGAAGUGGAACCAGAAGCAGGUCCCAAAGGAAGGCCUUGAACAGGUGGGCUGGAGUAGAAAGCCUGGUGCUCCCUGGGCUUUUGUUUGUUUGUUUUUAGACAGAAUCUCAAGCUGUUACCUUGGGUAGAGUGCCAUGGUGUCACAGCUCACAGCAACCUUCAACUCUUGGGUUUAAGCAAUUCACUUGUCUCAGCCUCCCAAAUAGCUGGGACUACAGGUGCCCGCCACAAUGCCAGGCUAUUUUUUGGUUACAGUUGUCAUUGUUGCUUUAGCUGGCCCGGGCUGGAUUUGAACCCAUCAGCCUCAGUGUAUGUGGUUGGCGCCCUACCCACUGAGCUACGGGUGCCACCCACCCUGGGCUUUUGGUGUACUCUGGAGUCUGUUGCAGAGGAUGGAAACAUUGGGAUUAAACCUAAGGUUUAUUGUUACUAUUUUUUAUUUUUGUUUAUUUUAUUGUUAUUGUUUUUUAGAGACAGGGUCUCACUUGAUUGCCCAGGCUGGAGUACAGUGGUGUAAGUGGUGUAAGCUCAAACUCCUGGGUUCAAAGGAUCCUCUGACCUGGGCCUCCUGAAUAGGUGAGAACACAGUAGCUGAGACUACAGUAGCUGAACCCACCAUACCUGGCUAAAUUUUUUUUUCGAGACAGAGUCUCACUUUGUCACUCUCAAUAGAGUGCUGUGGCAUUAUAGCUCACAGCAACCUCAAACCCCUGCCUCAGCCUCCCAAGUAGCUGGAACUAUAGGCAUUCCCCACAACACCUGGCUAUUUUUAGAGAUUAGGUCUCACUCUGGCUCAGGCUGGUCUUGAACCUGUGAGCUCAGGUAAUCCACCCAUCUUGGCUUCCCAGGGUGCUAGGAUUACAGAUGUAAGUCACCUUGCCCAGCCUGUUCUUGAACUUCUGACCUCAAGCAGUCCUCCCAUCUUGGGCUCCCAAAAUAAUGGGAUUACAGGUGUGAACCACGGCACCCAGCCAAGCCCAAGGUUUAGAUUUGAAAGGAACUAACUUCCCCCUCCUGUAGACACAACCUGUGCAAGUCCCUGAAUGACUCACAGAAGUGAGGAAAGACAUCCCAGGCCUGCCUGUGGCCCAUGUGAGACCAAUGUCAGAAUAUGUCUUUCAGUGAUUUACAGAGUCAACAGAAUGAGACUGCCUGGGACAAACAGGGAUACAGGAGGAGGGUGUUGCCAGCCCUAUUCCUGUGUGCACCCAGUUGCUGGAUGCAUCUCAAGAAGUUUUCUAAAUCUCCCUAUAGAGCAGUGUUUUUCAUCCUUUUUUAUCUCAUGGCACACUUGAACCUGUAUUUAGAAUUCCACAGCACACUUAAAUUAUGUUGGUCCAAAAAAGAGUAACUAAGGCUGGGUGUGGUGGCUCACAUCUGUAAUCCUAGCACUCUGGGAGGUUGAGGUGGGUAGAUUGCCCUGAGCUCACAGGUCGGAGAACAGCCUGAGCAAGAAUGAGACCCUAUCUCUAAAAAAAUGAAAAAGAAUAGCCAGGUGUUGUGGCGGACACCUGUAGUCCCAGCUACUUGGGAGGCUGAGAUAAGAGAAUCGCUUGACCCCAAGAGUUGGAUGUUGCUGUGAGCUAUGAUGCUACGGCACUCUACCCAGGGUGACAAAGUGAGACUCUGUCUCAAAAAAAAAAAAAUAAAAAAGAGUAAACAAAGGAUAUACUGUGCUUAGAACUUCUUUCGAACAUAACUUAAUUAAUGGUCUUUAAAAUUUUUCAUAGUACACCUAAGAUCCUCUCACGGCACACUGGUUGAAAAUCACUGCUCUAGAGGAAGUAAUUCACCUCUCCAUGGUCCUGCAUAGGGGCCAGUCUCUGGAAGCACCAACUACAAAUGUUCCUUACUCCACUCUGAUGACAAGGACUGGCCCAAGUGUGGACAGGGAAGCCAAGGGAAGGUGGAACCAUGCUGGCACUGUAAUGUUUCCAAGUACCACUUCAAUGGGUCUGUUUUGUCUUAGGCCAGUUAGAGAUGCCAAGAUAGGGUGGCAGGGAGCACCCUGGAUCUUGCUGUGGACACACAUGGGGCCUGAUCAUCAAAUGUGCCUCUGUAUUCCUAAGUUUUCCUGUUGAGGGAGGGACAGUCCAGUCCAGCUAGUGAGGCCUGAAGAGGGCUCCCUAGUCCUAUCUGCCACUUUUGGCCCAUUAUUUGUCACCCUCGGUAGAGUGCUAUGGUGUCACAGCUCAUAGCAACUUCAAACUCUUGGGCUUAAGUAAUUUUCUUGCCUCAGCCACCCAAGUAAGCUAGGAUGACAGGUGUCCGCCACCUGUUGCAGUUGUCAUUGUUGUUUAGCCGGGCCAGAUUCGAACCUGCCAGCCUUGGUGUAUGUGGCUAGCUCCCUACUCACUGAGCUACAGGUGCCAAGCCAUCAAAUGAUCCUCUUGCCUCAACCUCCCAAGUAGCUGGGACUACAGGUGCCCACCACAAUGCCUGGCUAUUUUCUUGAAGACAAGGUCUUGCUCUGGCUCAGGUCUCAAACUCAUGAGCUCAGGCAAUCCACCUGCCCAUUUUUUUUUUGAGACGUGGUCUUGCUUUAUCCUCUAGGCUGGAGUGCAGUGGCAUGAUCAUAGCUCACUAUAACCUUAAAUUCCUGGGCUCAAGUGAUUCUUUGCCACAACCUGCCUGGUAGCUGGAAUUAUGGGUAUGCUCCAUUACACUUGGCUAAUUUUUAAAAAUUUUUUGUAGAGAUGAGGUGUUGCUAUUUUGCUGAGGCUGGUCUUAAACUCCUGGGCUCAAGUGAUCCUCCCGCUUUGGUCUCCUAAAAGUGUUGAGAUUACAGGCAUGAGUCAACAUAUCUGGCUCCAAAUCACUUUUAAGUCCCUUUCAGGAAGAGAGAUUGGUCCUGACCAACCAAGGAGGCCUGGAGAGGGUUGGCUGAGUUUUUCCACAGCCCCACCUGGACCUUAUUUCAGGGGGCUCUGAAAAGGUUCCUAAGUUCCCUCCCUGACACUGGUGGUCACUAGCUCUAGCCAAAGAGGGAGACAGCAGAGGGUGCCUCAGUUCCAGUUGCCAUUCUGCAUGGGCCUCUGAUUGUGGGAUGUGCUCCCUAGAAAUAUCUGUAAGUUCUUGUAGGUAGGAUGGGAGAAAGGAAUGAGACCAAGCCAGCUAGGGAUGUCUAGGGAAUGUGUUGAGUGCCCAGGAAUCCAAAGACCACGCCAUCAUGCUAACCGAAUUAACAAAAGAGUCCUUUAUUUAAAAGCUGGCCAGCGACUGCCUCAUACUCAACACGGGUUCGGAGAGCAGCCCUGACUGCUUAAGGGGUUGGGUUUUUUUUUUGCAGUUUUUGGCCGGGGCUGGGUUUGAACCCACCACCUCUAGCAUUUGUGACUCUGCUGAGCCACAGGUGCCGCCCAAGAGGUUGGGUUUUUAAGGCUUGGUCUGCAUCCUGGUUGGCACACAGGCUGCCCAGGUGCAUCUGGGUUGGUUAGUAAGUAAUGUACGGAAGCAGAACUUUGCGGUUAGUUAGCCAUACACGUUUGUUUCAGUACUUUUCCCACCUGGUAUUUCUCAAAGGUCAGUCUGGGAACACUUGGUACUUCCCAGUCCGUUUCUCAGGGGAGUUAGUCAAGCAAGAAGUCAGUGAGUACUUUCCCAUCUGUCUUGGGAGUGAACCAGACUUACUCCAUUUUGUUGAGGGCUUGCGGCCCAGAAAUUUGCCAGGAAUUAACUGGUAUUUUUCCACCUUGGUCUAGGCGUAACAAGGGCAAUCUGGGUCUGCUUUCAGUCACACAUGGGGCCUGCUUGCCAGAUGCGCUCUCCAAAAAUUUUCUAAGUCACCCUAUAAAGUCCCCAAUCCCCGUGCCAAGGACCAUACUUGUCCAUGGCCUGGGAAGAAGUGGGCUGCACAGCAGGAGGUGAGCAGCUGGUGAGGGGACAAAGCUUCAUCUGUAUUUAUAGCUGUUUCCUAUCACUCGCAUCACUAAGGACCUGAGCUCUACCUCCUGUCACAUCAUUGGCUAUGUUAGAGUCUCAUAGGAGCUCAAACAUUCCUGCAGACUGUGUGUGCAAGAGAACUAAGUUGCAUAUGUCUUACAAGAAUUUAAUGUCCACUCCCAAUGGAAAAAUUGUCUUCCAUGAGAAUGGUCUCUGGUGCCUAAAAGGUUUGGGAAUGCUGCUCUAAAGAGAGGGAUCAUCUGGACUGGCCAGAGAGGCCCAAGGAGGCACCCUGAAAAUCUAGAAGGAGUGAGAAGUGGGGCCAGUGAGGGUGGUCUGGGGAAUGGGGCUGUUCCAUGGGAGAUACCAACAAUGUUUUAAAGUAUUCCUCUGAGAAACCAUCGUGCAGGCAGAGAAGAGGUCUUGGGAUGUCUCUGGCAGACGAUCUCUUAGCUGAUUUAGAAGAGGCAGCAGAAGAGGAAGGAGGAACCUAUGGAGGGGAAGAGGAGCCAGCGAUUGAGGAUGUUCAGGAAGAGACACAACUGGAUCUUUCUGGGGAUUCAGUCAAGAGCAUCGCAAACCUAUGGGACAGCAAGAUGUUUGCCGAGAUUGUGAUGAAGAUUGAGGAAUAUAUCAGCAAGCAAGCCAAAGAAAGCUUCAGAAGUGAUGGGGCCAGUGGAGGCAGCCCCUGAGUACCGGGUCAUUGUGGAUGCCAACAACCUGACUAUGGAGAUUGAGAAUGAGCUGAACAUUAUCCAUAAGUUUAUUCGGGAUAAGUACUUGAAGAGAUUUCCUGAGCUGGAGUCCUUGGUCCCCAAUGCACUGGAUUACAUCCGCAUGGUCAAGGAGCUGGGCAAUAGCCUGGACAAAUGCAAGAACAAUGAGAACCUGCAGCAGAUCCUGACCAAUGCCACCAUCAUGGUUGUCAGCGUCACUGCCUCCACCACUCAGGGGCAGCAGCUGUCAGAAGAGGAGCUGGAGUGGCUGGAGGAGGCCUGUGACAUGGCGCUGGAGCUGAAUGCCUCUAAGCACCGCAUCUAUGAGUACAUGGAGUCCCGCAUGUCCUUCAUUGUGCCCAGCUUGUCCAUCAUCAUUGGGGCAUCCACGGCUGCUAAGAUCAUGGGUGUGGCUGGUGGCCUCACCAAUCUCUCCAAGAUGCCUGCCUGCAACAUCAUGCUUCUUGGCACCCAGCGCAAGACACUGGCUUCUCACCUACCUCCGUGCUGUCCCACACUGGCUACAUCUACCACAGUGACAUCGUGCAAUUGCUGCCCCCGGAUCUCCGGCAGAAAGUAGCCAGGCUGGUGGCCGCCAAGUGUACGUUGGCGGCCCGUGUGGACAGUUUGUCCAUGAAGGGAAGGUGGGCUAUGAACUGAAGGAUGAGAUAGAGCGCAAAUUUGACAAGUGGCAGGAGCCGCCACCUGUGAAGCAGGUGAAGCCAUUGCCUGCACCCCUGGAUGGCCAGCGAAAGAAGCGAGGUGGCCGCAGGUACUGCAAGAUGAAGGAGCGGCUGGGGCUGACAGAGAUCCGGAAGCAGGCCAAUCGCAUGAGCUUCGGAGAGAUUGAGGAGGAUGCCUACCAGGAGGACCUGGGCUUCAGUCUGGGCCACCUAGGCAAGUCGGGGAGUGGGCGUGUGCGGCAGAAACAGGUGAACGAGGCCACCAAGGCCAGGAUCUCUAAGACACUGCAGCGUACCCUGCAGAAGCAGAGCAUGGCGUACGGUGGGAAGUCCACCAUCCGAGACCGUUCAUCGGGGACAGCCUCCAGUGUGGCUUUCACCUCACUCCAGGGCCUGGAGAUUGUGAACCCACAAGCAGCAGAGAAAAAGGUGGCUGAGGCCAACCAGAAGUACUUCUCCAGCAUGGCUGAGUUCCUUAAGGUCAAGAGUGAGAAAAGUAGCAUCAUGUCCACCUGAGUGGCUGUGCACAUCCAGGGUGGCUGCCCACAAAAGGGAAACAGAGGCCCAGCCUUUCUGAAGGGAUUGGGCCAGGGGGUUUGGCAGGGACAACCUGCCUUGCCCCACUGUGUGCCCCACCCAGUGCUGGCACCAUCGAGGAAGGCCUGGGAAGAAGCCCAGAUAGCCUCCCCCAGCACCAAGAUCACUGUCCCCCCAUUGAGGAAGCAGAGGUGGUUUUCGUCAUGCCUUGUCUUUUUUAACUGGAAAAGGAGAUGCUUUGGGAGGGUGUGGGGAGAGAAGAGUUCAAUUAAAACCACAUCAUCAAAAAAAA